CUAAUCCCUUAAAGCCAUUCUCAGUUCGGAUUGUAGGCUGAAACUCGCCUACAUGAAGUCGGAAUCGCUAGUAAUCGCGGAUCAGCACGCCGCGGUGAAUACGUUCCCGGGCCUUGUACACACCGCCCGUCACACCACGGAAGUUGGGAGUACCCAAAGUAGGUUGCCUAACCGCAAGGAGGGCGCUUCCUAAGGUAAGACCGAUGACUGGGGUGAAGUCGUAACAAGGUAGC
rnacentral:rRNA from 1 species